GGUGCAGGUGUGAACACCGGGAGGGCUUUUCCAGCAUCGCAGCUCACCUGGCGUCACCAGGGUCAUCAAAGAGCAAAGCCUAAGGCAGGAGUACAAAAAGCUUCCCAGCAUCCCUCAAUCGUCAACGAUGGUGCAGGUGUGAGCACAGGGAGGGCUUUUCCAGCUCCUCACGUGGGUCCCGAACCACAGCUCACCUGGCAUCACAAGGGUGAG